ACUCUGAGGGACCCGGGGGACGAAGACAGAGAUAAUUUGGAAGACACCUACGAGCCGAGAAGAUGCCCACUGAAACAGGGCUCUCGAAGAGAAGGCAGACACUGAUAGAAACUCUAGGGUGGAAUAGGACACCUAAAGGUGGGAGGACGGGUUUAAAUAGACCCUGGGAUCCGAUGCCAUAAUGAUCACGAAUCCCCCCAAGCCAAUCCACGACAGGCACGUGUCCCACUCCCCCCGGC
rnacentral:lncRNA from 1 species